rnacentral:rRNA from 1 species
GAUGAGAAGCUUGCUUCUCUGAUGUUAGCGGCGGACGGGUGAGUAACACGUGGGUAACCUACCUAUAAGACUGGGAUAACUCCGGGAAACCGGGGCUAAUACCGGAUAAUAUUUUGAACCGCAUGGUUCGAUAGUGAAAGACGGUUUCGGCUGUCACUUAUAGAUGGACCCGCGCCGUAUUAGCUAGUUGGUAAGGUAACGGCUUACCAAGGCGACGAUACGUAGCCGACCUGAGAGGGUGAUCGGCCACACUGGAACUGAGACACGGUCCAGACUCCUACGGGAGGCAGCAGUAGGGAAUCUUCCGCAAUGGGCGAAAGCCUGACGGAGCAACGCCGCGUGAGUGAUGAAGGUCUUCGGAUCGUAAAACUCUGUUGUUAGGGAAGAACAAAUUUGUUAGUAACUGAACAAGUCUUGACGGUACCUAACCAGAAAGCCACGGCUAACUACGUGCCAGCAGCCGCGGUAAUACGUAGGUGGCAAGCGUUAUCCGGAAUUAUUGGGCGUAAAGCGCGCGUAGGCGGUUUCUUAAGUCUGAUGUGAAAGCCCACGGCUCAACCGUGGAGGGUCAUUGGAAACUGGGAAACUUGAGUGCAGAAGAGGAGAGUGGAAUUCCAUGUGUAGCGGUGAAAUGCGCAGAGAUAUGGAGGAACACCAGUGGCGAAGGCGGCUCUCUGGUCUGUAACUGACGCUGAUGUGCGAAAGCGUGGGGAUCAAACAGGAUUAGAUACCCUGGUAGUCCACGCCGUAAACGAUGAGUGCUAAGUGU